rnacentral:rRNA from 1 species
UACAGAGGUCUCGAGCGUUAGGCGGAAUCACUGGGCUUAAAGCGUGUGUAGGCGGGUCGUUAAGUACCUUGUGAAAUCCCAUGGCUCAACCAUGGAACUGCUUGGUAUACUGGCGAUCUUGCGCAACCUAGGGGCGAGCGGAACAGAUGGUGGAGCGGUGAAAUGCGCAGAUAUCGGGAAGAACACCUAUGGCGAAGGCAGCUCUCUGGGACGGUACUGACGCUGAGACGCGAAAGCGUGGGGAGCGAACAGG